ACCUGCAUGCCUCUAGCAUGAAGUCAGACAAGUGA
rnacentral:rRNA from 1 species